CUGAUGCACCUGCAGGAGAGUGAGGAGAAAAGGAAGUCAAUUGCAAGCCAGGACAGCCUUGGAACUGGGUGAGGAAGAGUAAUUUUUCAGGAAGUUGAAGGUAAUGUUUUAAGCUUACUUAGUGGUUGUGAGUCUGGGGUGGAGGACUCAGAGCACAGCCUGGGGUCCUCUGGGUGGUACAGGGCUGUGUAGAGCGGAUGUGGGGAGGCUUAAACAGCUCAGUGGGAGCUGAAAGCUACCAUCAGCAUGUUUAUUCCUGCUUGAACAGAGAAUCUUAGGUAGACUUUCCCACCUCAAGACUGAAGAUAGUUAAGUGGUGACAGGGCAACACUGGAAGUCUGUUACUAACAUUGGACUGAGGUUUAGACCAGGCCCCAAGUUUGUUAGUUAGAGGAUUAACACAGCUGAAUCAGUAGAUAGAGAUGGUUAUGGUUGUUUCAAAUCUAUCUACCUCCCCGUUCAAUGGGAUCAGCUUGCAGACAGCACCAUGUUACUGCAGACACAGCUAUGCUGUUUGAAGCAGCUCAUUCCCUCUCUCUCCUCCCUCUGUCACUCUUCCCUCUCCAUGCCUUGCUUCCUAGCCUGGCUUCCUGCUUUCAGGGCUGUCCCUCACCCAAGGGGAGUGGGAAGGCUGCUGCAACAUGGAUGGAUGCUGCAAAACUCUCAUCCUCUGAGAAAGAUUGCAGACAGCCACUGCUAUGCCCAGGCAGGAUUAUCAUCUUGCAGGGGAAAGAUAUUGGUGUCUUUUGCUUUUGUCUGUGUGCAUGAGCCCAGCCACCUGGGUCCUUCAAGUCUAAUGAUAUUGUUUCAUUUCAGGACAGGACAAGGAGCUUUUUGCCCUUAACAAUCCUGACUUUGCUGCUGUGGUUCCAGGCCAGCUCUACGACUGCACGGGCCUGUGCUGUCCCCUGGGAAGGGUCCUCCUGCCAUGCUGGCUGCUGGUGACCUUGCAGGGAACAUGGAGCUGCUGGCUGUCAUGGCACCAGAGGAAACAGGAAAGGAUGCAACAGCAUCACAAGCUGAGGUGGAAGGAGUAGAAAAAGCAGCAGCAACAGGGGAGGUGGAAAGCCCAGCGAGAACAGGUCUGUGUGGAAAGGUGGUCAUUCCUGAAGGAGCAAAGGAGACAAUGGUGGAAGUAUCAGAAAAAACAGAGGCAGAAAGAGAUGCUGAAGCAUUUGCCCGGGCAGCAGAAAGAAUUGCUGUAUCAGAAGUAGCCAAGGUGUUGCAGGCAGCAAUAGCUGAGCUCAAAAGGAAGAGGAAGAGCAUGUGGAUAAAUCCGAGGAACGCCACUCAGCAGGAGGAGGAUUGUGUGAAAGAGGGAGAGGUGAAAUGAAACUGAGAAGAGGUGGUGUUCUGGGUCAUACCUCCUAAUGAGGGGCUGGUACCUGACACUGUGACCACUCCUGGAACACAAUAGGGCACAGUCGCAUCUUUUUUGUGACUGACUAUACUAUUAAAAAUAAAUAUAUGGCAUAUUCUGCA
rnacentral:lncRNA from 1 species